CUGUCUCCCUCUACAGAUUCUGCAGCUGAGGGACCAAGGUCUUUGCAUCAUCAUGACCUUCACCUGGCGAAUCAGAGGACAAGUAAAAGGACUUACAUCUGCCUUCCUUCUAGAGCAACCUGCAGACCAGGUUGUUUUGAACGUCUCUCCUCCAUCUUUAUCCCGAGCCAUCCUCGUUCUUCGGCCAAAUAAAAAGGAAACAUCAAUGCAAUAAAGACCCAUGUUUCUGCUUCGACACACCAUGACCACAUUCUUAUACUAUUACGAGGUAAAUGCGCUGGAAAGGACACUGAGGAGAGAAACUUCUAAAUCUCUAUUUUCCAUCUGCAAAAUGAAGGCAAUGAUAUAUCCAUCCUGAGGUUC
rnacentral:lncRNA from 1 species